GUGGAUAUAAAAAUGUGGCUUUUACCAUGUCAUCUGGGAGCGCAGUGUGUUCCCUGAGGUUCUUGUGAAUAAGCCAGGAGUCCAAGACCAAGUUAAGGUCUGGCUGCAGGCAGCGCCACUCCUGAACCUGUCUCACCUGGGAGUGGCAGUUGUUUCUAGGUGGAAACUGAUCUGGGCAGCCUGGGGAUGCUGGUUUCUGAGCCCCAGGCAGGAUCUCUAGCUGGGGUGUGUUUUGUUGUUGUUGUUUUGGCUGUGCUGCUUGCAGAAUCUUCUUUGCCUGACCAGGGAUUGAACCCCGGUCAUGGCAGAGAGAGUAAGCUGACUCUAGUGCCAGGCUCUUACUUCUUUCUUGGAGUCAUGACAUCUGUGUUGGAUGGAUUUACAUCAGUGGAACAUGUUUAGAUUAGAAAUGUAGCUAGAUACAGUUGUAAGGUGCAACUCGGAGUUUGUGUGUUGAAAUUUUCUCCUAUAUUCAUCGUUACUUUCUGUUGUUGGGAUUUAGAACAAAAUCUUUUUCACCUGGAAGGAAAAUGGUGGUAGCCUGCUCACAUCUCUCCCAAGCUAAUACUUCCCCAGAAUCCUGACUCUCCUGCAUUUUCAUCUUAAACCAUUUGCUCUGAUCUGCUUUAGUUUUAAGUUUUAGGCUGUCUUUGACUCUGUACACCAAUGACACUGGUAGAUGCUGCUGUAGGAAAAACACGGCUUUAUGGGCGAAACACCUUAUUUACACCAGUGAUUCUCAAAGUGUGGCCCAGACCCAGCAGGGAUAGUGGAAAUACGAGUUUUAGGGCCUAUCCUUAGAACUGCUGAACCAAAAACUCAGGGGCAGGGGCCCCAAAUCUGUAUUUUAACAAGUCUACAGGCUUAGUUCCUGACUUUUCCAACAUCUCUGCAGUGCCUGAAACUCUAGAUGAUGAUGCGAUGAACACACGGCAUUUUAUUUAUUAGAGAAAACUUGGCUGAAUCAACCGGAUUCCUGCAGUUGGACUGUAACACACAGCUGGAUAAUUGGAAGACUUUCAAAGAUCCAUUGGGUUGUUUUCAUACAGAGUUCUGGUGUCAGAUAGAUGGUGUGUGUGUGUGUGUGUGUGUGUGUUGAGCAGCCACUGAAGAAAAUAAAAAUAAAUGAGAUGUAUAACUCAGUACAAGAUGACACAAAAUCCAAGAAGGCAGUGUCCCAUUUACUUCAAAAUACUUGAUCAAAAUGGGUCAGAAGAAUUGGAUAGUUAUCUAUUAAUGGGAUAACCAUCCUAUUUUGAAAAGAUGAAAAUAAAUCUUGGAAAGAGCAACAUUACCAACUCUAAUUUCCUAUUUCUGUCCCCUCUGCCCCAAACCUGACUAUCUUCAUGAAAAAUUAGGUAAAGCUCUAAGGCUACACUUAAUUAUAUUUAUUGCAGGUUGAAUGUUAUUCCUAUUUUAUAUACUACAACUCAAAACUGUCUGGACGUUACAAUAUUAUUACCCUGCCCUCCCCCCUUUUUAAAUAAAGACAUUUAGGCUUUUUUUUUUUAAACCUGAGUGCUUAAAAUAAGUUCACAUUUGCUGUUUGAGAUACAUAGAGUCUCAAACUCUAGCA
ensembl:lncRNA